ensembl:lncRNA
GCUGCUCUGACUGACACUCUGACACUUACGCCUUCUCUAACGGACAGUGACGCAAUGGACCCUGAUGCAUCCACUCAAUUUCUUGAAAGCAGUUUGUAGAUUCUCCUCCUUGCCAUCCUUGGCUUCAGAUUUCAUUGUGCAAGAUUUUACACUUCUAUAGAUGUUCCCAUGAAUACUCCUCAUAGCUGGGGCACUCUGGCAAUCCAGUCCCAUCAGUUCAGAAGGAAGGACAAACUGUACUAUCCCUUCACUGCAAGCAGAGGACUGCGAUUGCAGACCUGGGCAAAUGUGGGUGCAUAACGCUAGGAGGAUACAGGCCUGCAGACAACACCAGAGAGGCAUGCUCC